rnacentral:misc_RNA from 1 species
AAGGAAUUGAAAAUGCUCCCUUUCACCUCUCUGCAACUCCGUCGCUUCCUCCACCAUUAUUACCUCUCUCCUACUCCAUCUCUCACUCAGUCCACUUCUGUUCUAACUUUUUCCCUACCCGUCUCCCUAAAUUUACGUUCUUGCCAUUUUCUAUCUGUAGACCCUUCUCUUCGGAGACCAUUAAUCCUAUGACUCAGAUUCCAUUGCACGUUCUA